AUUUCUAGAGAUGAAAGUUACUUCGGUACAUCGGUGACAGGUGGUGCAUGGUUGUCGUCAGCUCGUGUCGUGAGAUGUUGGGUUAAGUCCCGCAACGAGCGCAACCCCUAUUGUUAGUUGCCAUCAUUCAGUUGGGCACUCUAGCGAGACUGCCGGUAAUAAACCGGAGGAAGGUGGGGAUGACGUCAAAUCAUCAUGCCCCUUAUGACCUGGGCUACACACGUGCUACAAUGGUUGGUACAACGAGUUGCGAGUCGGUGACGGCGAGCUAAUCUCUUAAAGCCAAUCUCAGUUCGGAUUGUAGGCUGCAGCUCGCCUACAUGAAGUCGGAAUCGCUAGUAAUCGCGGAUCAGCACGCCGCGGUGAAUACGUUCCCGGGCCUU
rnacentral:rRNA from 1 species